AGGACGAAACGGAGCGAAUGGCUCAUCAAUUACUGCAUCAUUUUGCCGACCGAGCAAAGUAGAAGAAUAUCGUUUUAAAUUUUCUAGAGUGCUUGAUUUUUCAAGAUGUUGUUGUAACAAACCCUGAGCAGAUGCUCUAUCACUUCGCACAGGUGGUGAAUACCUGUGGCCUUUGGAAAUAGCAUCUCCUGCCAAAAAAGGAGCUCCGUCGACUGUCUCAUCACGAAAAUUUUUAUCUGGAGCAGAAACUUUGCUUUGAAGUAAUGUUAAGUACUCAUCGUGUGAACUGGUCGAAGAAUCAAUAUAGCAAAUAGCUAAGGGCACCGCGUCAUUAAAGCCUGGAGGGUUUGCUGAAUCUCGAUUGCUCAUAAAGGAUCAGAAAACACCUUUUUUGGAGCAACAUAUAAAUAUUAGUCAGAUAUUAAAAAAAAAAAUGAUUAGAGCUGGUAACAGAAUGUUGUGGAAGUCCUUAAGCCAAGUUGGAUUAGC